rnacentral:tRNA from 1 species
UGGCUCACUGGUAGAGUACUUGCCUAGCAUGCAUGAGCCCCUGGGUUCAAUCCCCAG